rnacentral:rRNA from 1 species
AAAUUGAAGAGUUUGAUCAUGGCUCAGAUUGAACGCUGGCGGCAGGCCUAACACAUGCAAGUCGAGCGGAAACGACACUAACAAUCCUUCGGGUGCGUUAAUGGGCGUCGAGCGGCGGACGGGUGAGUAAUGCCUAGGAAAUUGCCUUGAUGUGGGGGAUAACCAUUGGAAACGAUGGCUAAUACCGCAUAAUGCCUACGGGCCAAAGAGGGGGAUCUUCGGACCUCUCGCGUCAAGAUAUGCCUAGGUGGGAUUAGCUAGUUGGUGAGGUAAUGGCUCACCAAGGCGACGAUCCCUAGCUGGUCUGAGAGGAUGAUCAGCCACACUGGAACUGAGACACGGUCCAGACUCCUACGGGAGGCAGCAGUGGGGAAUAUUGCACAAUGGGCGAAAGCCUGAUGCAGCCAUGCCGCGUGUAUGAAGAAGGCCUUCGGGUUGUAAAGUACUUUCAGUUGUGAGGAAGGGGGUAACGUUAAUAGCGUUAUCUCUUGACGUUAGCAACAGAAGAAGCACCGGCUAACUCCGUGCCAGCAGCCGCGGUAAUACGGAGGGUGCGAGCGUUAAUCGGAAUUACUGGGCGUAAAGCGCAUGCAGGUGGUUCAUUAAGUCAGA